GACGAACGCUGGCGGCGUGCUUAACACAUGCAAGUCGAGCGGUAAGGCUCCUUCGGGAGUACACGAGCGGCGAACGGGUGAGUAACACGUGAGCAAUCUGCCCAUCUCUUUGGAAUAAGCGUUGGAAACGACGUCUAAUGCCGAAUACGACCUCCUUUCGCAUGAUCGGAGGUGGAAAGCUCCGGCGGAGAUGGAUGAGCUCGCGGCCUAUCAGCUAGUUGGNGAGGUAACGGCCCACCAAGGCGACGACGGGUAGCCGGCCUGAGAGGGUGACCGGCCACACUGGGACUGAGACACGGCCCAGACUCCUACGGGAGGCAGCAGUGGGGAAUAUUGGACAAUGGGCGAAAGCCUGAUCCAGCAACGCCGCGUGA
rnacentral:rRNA from 1 species